GCACCAGAAGCUCAGUGGUUGAGCAUGCGAUUGCAGUCGGAUGACUAUCGCAGGGUCGCCGGUUCAAAUCCGACCUGGUGCU